AACCAUCAGGUUCGGCAGCCGGCGGCGCCGCCUGGCAGCUCCUCCUCUUCUCCGCCCCGCUGGCCGCGGGCGCGGGGGACGUCAGCGCUGCCAGCGUGGAAAGAGCUGCGGGGCGCGGGAGGAGGAAGUAGAGCCCGGGACCGCCGGGCCACCACCGGCCGCCUCAGCCAUGGACGCGUCCCUGGAGAAGAUAGCAGACCCCACGUUAGCUGAAAUGGGAAAAAACUUGAAGGAGGCAGUGAAGAUGCUGGAGGACAGUCAGAGAAGAACAGAAGAGGAAAAUGGAAAGAAGCUCAUAUCCAGAGAUAUUCCAGGCCCACUCCAGGGCAGUGGACAAGAUAUGGUGAGCAUCCUCCAGUUAGUUCAGAAUCUGAUGCAUGGAGAUGAAGAUGAGGAGCCCCAGAGCCCCAGAAUCCAAAAUAUUGGAGAACAAGGUCAUGUGGCUGUGUUGGGACAUAGUCUGGGAGCUUAUAUUUUGACUCUGGACGAAGAGAAGCUGAGAAAACUUACAACUAGGAUACUUUCAGAUACCACCUUAUGGCU
rnacentral:lncRNA from 1 species